rnacentral:rRNA from 1 species
AGAGUUUGAUCCUGGCUCAGGAUGAACGCUAGCGACAGGCCUAACACAUGCAAGUCGAGGGGCAGCGGAGAGGUAGCAAUACCUUUGCCGGCGACCGGCGCACGGGUGAGUAACACGUAUGCAAUCCACCUGUAACAGGGGGAUAACCCGGAGAAAUCCGGACUAAUACCCCAUAAUAUGGGCGCUCCGCAUGGAGAGUCCAUUAAAGAGAGCAAUCUUGGUUACAGACGAGCAUGCGCUCCAUUAGCCAGUUGGCGGGGUAACGGCCCACCAAGGCGACGAUGGAUAGGGGUUCUGAGAGGAAGGUCCCCCACAUUGGAACUGAGACACGGUCCAAACUCCUACGGGAGGCAGCAGUGAGGAAUAUUGGUCAAUGGUCGGCAGACUGAACCAGCCAAGUCGCGUGAGGGAAGACGGCCCUACGGGUUGUAAACCUCUUUUGUCGGAGAGUAAAGUACGCUACGCGUAGCGUAUUGCAAGUAUCCGAAGAAAAAGCAUCGGCUAACUCCGUGCCAGCAGCCGCGGU